ACCAAGUGGGACUUCAUCAAAUGAUUCAUGCACAGAUGGAAUCCCGCUUAAUAACAAAUUGAUUUCAUCAUCCAUCCCCCUCAAUUUUCCUUCCUUCACCUUAAGCUUCUUGGCAAGUCUCCUCUCCAUUACUAGAUCCUCCUGUGCCAACACGUCAGCAUUUUUCAUAUCCAUUUCAAUAAACUCUUCAAACUUUGUUUUCAAAUUUCUCUUCAAGCCCCUGCUUUCUUUCUUUGAAGUAGUGGAACAAUCAUGUCUCAAUGACUCUGAUUUAACUUCCAUUUUCUUUCUCAC
rnacentral:misc_RNA from 1 species